AUUGAACGCUGGCGGCAUGCCUUACACAUGCAAGUCGAACGGCAGCACGGGUGCUUGCACCUGGUGGCGAGUGGCGAACGGGUGAGUAAUACAUCGGAACGUACCUUAUCGUGGGGGAUAACGCAGCGAAAGCUGUGCUAAUACCGCAUACGCCUUGAGGGGGAAAGCGGGGGACCGCAAGACCUCGCGCGAUUAGAGCGGCCGAUGCCUGACUAGCUUGUUGGUGGGGUAAAAGCCCACCAAGGCGACGAUCAGUAGCUGGUCUGAGAGGACGAUCAGCCACACUGGGACUGAGACACGGCCCAGACUCCUACGGGAGGCAGCAGUGGGGAAUUUUGGACAAUGGGGGCAACCCUGAUCCAGCAAUGCCGCGUGAGUGAAGAAGGCCUUCGGGUUGUAAAGCUCUUUUGUCAGGGAAGAAACACCGGCUCUAACACAGUCUGGGAAUGACGGUACCUGAAGAAUAAGCACCGGCUAACUACGUGCCAGCAGCCGCCGUAA
rnacentral:rRNA from 1 species